GGUUUUCCAUGUGGAACUGUGCCAGCUGCAGGCUCAGUUUGAUCUAGAAUGGGUUGCUUUUCCUUUAUUGUGUGCAUGGGGAUUGAGCAUGUGUAUCUUGGGCAUGUGUGUGGUUUGGUGUUUUCUCCUGUAGGAUGCACUAAUCAAGGAAACAGGCUACUGAUAAGACUAGAAUCCUGGAUGGAGAUGACUGCUUGAUGUGCUAAUCCCCUGGGAAGAUGCAACAUCUUUUGAACUCACCAGGAAGAGAAGAACUGGGGAGCCCAUCAGAAAUGUCUCAGAGGGUUUUCACCAAAUCAUGGAGUGGGCUGGAACCUGCUGGGUUGGUCAAAGCCUUCUCCUGAGGUUUAGGAGAAGGCAGUGGAGAAAUUCAGCUGUAUCUAGCAUGCAGUGAAUGUGGACUGGUGCACAAUCAUUUUGAACUUUGUCUAUUCAAUUAGUAUUGGUAUUAUGAAGGAAAUGUAGAUCCUGAUAAAGAUGGUGACCAGUUUCUUUUUUAAGGACAUUUGGGUCAAGAUCUCCCUUUUGUCAAAUUCAUUACUCACUUUCUGGGCAUUCUUGCUAUCCUCUUGUUAUGUUCAGCUACAAGAUUGGUGGACCUGACUGUGUUGGUUGACUUUCAAUUCUGUUGUCAAAAUAAAUGAGAAGUCAGGAAAUUGCAGACCCAGUCCAAAUGCAAUCUGCUCAGGGGGUUGGUACUUGGAAAGUUCCCUCCAUCUGUUGUGGUUGGUUUAGAGGCUCGCUCAGACCUUUGGCAUGACCUGUUGAUUUCAGUGUCUGCCCAAAUAUUUACAACCAAGUACAAUAAUUGUGGUAUCCAAGCCAUAAAACUGCGGAUCACUUAUAGGCUCCUCUCUGGCAUAUCUCUUGUCCAGCCAUGACAAGCCCAGCAAGCAAAUCUGGUUUAGCUCAAAGGCAAGCCUAUGUUGCAUGAAGGACUUACCUCUGCUCCCAAG